rnacentral:rRNA from 1 species
GAUGAACGCUGGCGGCGUGCCUAAUACAUGUAAGUCGAGCGAACAGACGAGGAGCUUGCUCCUCUGACGUUAGCGGCGGACGGGUGAGUGACACGUGGAUAACCUACCUAUAAGACUGGGAUAACUUCGGGAAACCGGAGCUAAUACCGGAUAAUAUAUUGAACCGCAUGGUUCAAUAGUGAAAGACGGUUUUGCUGUCACUUAUAGAUGGAUCCGCGCCGCAUUAGCUAGUUGGUAAGGUAACGGCUUACCAAGGCAACGAUGCGUAGCCGACCUGAGAGGGUGAUCGGCCACACUGGAACUGGGACACGGUCCAGACUCCUACGGGAGGCAGCAGAAGGGAAUCUUCCGCAAUGGGCGAAAGCCUGACGGAGCAACGCCGCGUGAGUGAUGAAGGUCUUCGGAUCGUAAAACUCUGUUAUUAGGGAAGAACAAAUGUGUAAGUAACUAUGCACGUCUUGACGGUACCUAAUCAGAAAGCCACGGCUAACUACGUG